UCAAUCUGAGCGCUUAAUUCUUUCGAAAAGAAAGAAGCGGGGGAACCACUUUUGGGGUGAAUCCCCUUUGACCAAGAAAUCAAAUUGCAAGUUCUUGAUUAGAGGGGUAGGGUUACACUCUUCGACCCGAAUCCGACAGCUAACCUCGCCAGCGUUGUAAGAGGAGGU
rnacentral:sRNA from 1 species